CUCGUAGGUGGCCAACUAAGUCAGACGUGAAAUCCCUCGGCUUAACCGGGGAACUGCGUCUGAUACUGGAUGGCUUGAGUUUGGGAGAGGGACGCGGAAUUCCAGGUGUAGCGGUGAAAUGCGUAGAUAUCUGGAGGAACACCGGUGGCGAAGGCGGCGUCCUGACCAACACUGACACUGAUGAGCGAAAGCCAGGGGAGCAAACG
rnacentral:rRNA from 1 species